UAGUCCCGCUGUAGACCCGGUCUAGUCUCGGGUCUAGUCCUGCUGUAGACCCGAUGGUUUUUAGGAGGUGCUCUUUUGGUUUUGCUCUGUUCUAGAUCACUGUAGUUUCUUUAGGUUCUUCAGGCGUUUAUGUAGUUUCUUUAGGUUCUUCAGGCGUUUAUGUCGUUUCUUUAGGUUCUUCACGCGUUUAUGUCGUUUCUUUAGGUUCUUCAGGCGUUUAUGUCGUUUCUUUUGGUUCUUCAGGUGUUUAUGUCGUUUCUUUAGGUUCUUCAGGCGUUUACGUCGUUUCUUUUGGUUCUUCAGGUGUUUUUGUCGUUUCUUUUGGUUCUUCAGGUGUUUUUGUCGUUUCUUUAGGUUCUUCAUGCGUUUAUGUCGUUUCUUUUGGUUCUUCAGGUGUUUAUGUCGUUUCUUUAGGUUCUUCACGUGUUUAUGUCGUUUCUUUAGGUUCUUCAUGCGUUUAUGUCGUUUCUUUUGGUUCUUCAGGUGUUUUUGUCGUUUCUUUAGGUUCUUCAAGUGUUUAUGUCGUUUCUUUAGGUCCUUCACGCAUUUAUGUCGUUUCUUUAGGUUCUUCAGGUGUUUAUGUCGUUUCUUUUGGUUCUUCAGGUGUUUAUGUCGUGGGCUGGAGACAGACCGAUAUAUCAGGUCAAUAUUUACACUUUUGAGCGUAUCGGCCUUAAAUCUCCAGCACAGGCCAAUUUUGUUUUGGUCAAUCUGCUGCAUAAAAAUCCACACAAAGCUCCAUAUGAACAUUUUAGUAAAUUUAAAUUAUAUAAUUUGGAGAAAAAAAUCUGAAGCAGCCCCUCAUAUUGGCCCAAAAACAUCAGUGCAGAAACAUUGGCAGAUUUUAUCGUCCGUCAUUUUCUCUGGAUUAUAAAUAAUUGACAUCGAUCAUGAGAAAACUGAACAAGUCACAGCUGAUUUUUGUUCUAAUCCUCAGGAUCGUCUGUUUUUACGUGUACAUUUUUGUUUGUUCAAAUUCUGAAAGUGUUAAAAUAAACCCUCUACUACCCUGUACUGAAGUAAAAGUAAAAAGUAUACACUAAAAUGUACUUAAGUACAGAUACUGCUCUCACGUGUAGUGAAGUAUCCACUUUAAAACUGUAUCUGUUCUGAAGUACAGAUACAUAAAACUUUAAUUCUUUACUUUAUUCUUACUUUUUC
ensembl:lncRNA